UACGAAGGGUGCAAACGUUGCUCGGAAUUAUUGGGCGUAAAGCGCACGUAGGCGGCUUUGCAAGUCGGAUGUGAAAGCCCUCGGCUCAACCAAGGAAGUGCAUCCGAAACUGCAGAGCUUGAGUACUUAAGAGGAUCGCGGAAUUCCCGGUGUAGAGGUGAAAUUCGUAGAUAUCUGGAGGAACACCGGUGGCGAAGGCGGCGUCCUGGACCAACACUGACACUGAGGAGCGAAAGCCAGGGGAGCAAACGGG
rnacentral:rRNA from 1 species